UUCGAUGCGUAAGCAUCGUUUUCGAGUGUUCAACUAUUUUUAAAAAUAUUGUUGACUUUUUUUUUUAAUUUUUUUUUUUUCCUUAAUGACUAAUGACGUCAUUAAGGAAAAAAUUUUUUUUUUCAACCGGCGUUUUCGCAAGUUGAAAAAAUCAAUUUUUUUUUUUAAAUUUUUUCGUCAACCCCAUUCAAUUUACAAGUCAACAGUAUUUUUAUAUAUUAAUUAGUGUUGAUUAUUUAAGUAGGUUACCAAUGGAUUCCAACGAGGAAAAAUCAUUUUCUGAUAUCUUGACUGGAAGGAAGGAUGGAAUUGAACAUCACUGACCAGCCUCAAUGAACUGCUAGCUGUCAUCCUACCAGCUGAUCAACUGGCAUCGUUCGGCAGGGAAAUAAAGUUAUUUCUCUGUUGAGGUUUAGGUACAUAAUUUGGAUUUACUUUUUAGUAGAUCGUAUACGACAUGUCUAGGCUAGAGUUCACUGGAAUCUAUUCUGACAUGACUGGCCUAAUAGGACCAGAAUAAUUUCCAGGACAGUGAUGCUGCUGAGCAUUGACGACAAGGUGGUCCAGAUCCAAGGACACACCGCCGCUCUAAUUUUUUUUUUCUGUUUCAGAUCCAGUCAACAAGAAGGAUGCCCAACUUGAAGGAUGCCCAUGGAUGCCAAGGACCAACAGGAAAACCAGGACCAGGACCAGGACGAGGACCAGGAAGAAGAUUUAUUAUUUAUUUAAUUUAAGCUUAAUUGUAGUUAAUUUUAAAUAAUUUCUGUAUUAAGGUGUGAGUGUGAUGAAUGAUAUGAGAGAUUUAGAUUUUUAUUUUAUAAGAAUAAGUGUGAAUGGCAUGUUUUUUUGCUUGGCUUGUGCAUUGUUUUUUGUUUAUUUUUAUUCGGGUUUGAUUGCAUGGUUUGUUUUUUGUUUUUUGGUUUUUUUUUAUUCGGGUUUGAUUGCAUGGUUUGGGUUGCUUAUAUUUAAUUUUAAUUUUUCCCUUUUUCCCAUUACCUAUUAAUCUUAAGUUUGUUUGAUUGUGAUUUAAUUUAAAUUUAAGAGUAUGAUGAAUGUGUGUGAUAUUAUUUAUCCGGGCCUGGAUACUAUUAUUAAGAUUUAAUUUUAAGAAAUUUUAUUUAUAAAAUUUCAAUAUUUAUAUUUUUUUUUGUAAUUAUGUACUGUAUAAUAUUUUGUAUUGUCAUUUAGCUAUUUUUUGGUCACCAAUCGAGUGACCACUGUGUUGGUCGGGUUUUAUCACUGAUAAAAUCCUCUGAUUUAAACCGAUAGAUUCCGGGUCUAUCGGAUUUUUAUUGGAGUAUUUUAUCAGUGUCGAGGUUUCCCAAACGGGCUAUUUUCUUUCUACCAAAAGAAAAUAGCUUAGACCACUACAAUUGUAUUUCUAAAAAAAUACAAUUGUAGGUGAAUGCGCACAGUAUAGGAAGACGGUCCUCA